AAGCAACUGAGAACCCUGUAGGAAAAGUACGUUUGAGUCUCCUCCUACUGCUAGUAUGAUUUCAGGAUGAAAGAGGAAAUUUGGAGAUGUUGCUUUGACUUAAAAAUGGGAAGCCAUUCUUCGCUUGUAGGCUCUAUGAAAGCAGACUGUGGUCUAGAUUUGUCCUGUGGGCCAUGGGUUGCUAACUCCCAUUAUA